CAAAUUAAAUACGUUGUACCGUAGACAGUAGGUGCUUACUAAAGCUUAAUAUCCUGCCGAGGUGUUUAAUAAUAACAAAUGAUAAUGUUUGUUUAUUUAACCCUCCAUGUCUACAUGGAGGGUUUUCUUAUAUAAAC
rfam:Ornithinibacillus halophilus strain IBRC-M 10683 genome assembly, contig: Ga0104432_1016